GAUGAACGCUGGCGGCGUGCCUAAUACAUGCAAGUCGAGCGAACAGACGAGGAGCUUGCUCCUCUGACGUUAGCGGCGGACGUGUGAGUAACACGUGUAUCACCUACCUAUAAGACUGGGAUAACUUCGGGAAACCGGAGCUUAUACCGGAUAAUAUAUUGAACCGCAUGGUUCAAUAGUGAAAGACGGUUUUGCUGUAUCUUAUAGAUGGAUACCGGCCGCAUUAGCUAGUUGGUAAGGUAACGGCUUAUCAAGGCGACGAUGCGUAGCCGACCGGUGAGGGUGAUCGGCCACACUGGAGCUGAGACGCGGACCAGAGUCCUACGGGAGGCAGCAGUAGGGAAUCUGCGGCAAUGGGCGAAAGCCUGACGGAGCAACGCCGCGUGAGUGAUGAAGGUCUUCGGAUCGUAAAACUCUGUUAUUAGGGAAGAACAAAUGUGUAAGUAACUGUGCACGUCUUGACGGUACCUAAUCAGAAAGCCACGGCUAACUACGUG
rnacentral:rRNA from 1 species